rnacentral:tRNA from 1 species
GACCACGUAGCUCAGUUGGCAGAGCAUUGGACUAGUAUCCCAAAGGUCGCGGGUUAGAUUCCCAUCGUGGUCA